UGAACAGCCAUGCCGCGUGGAGGAUGAAGGUCCUCUGGAUUGUAAACUUCUUUUAUCUGGGACGAAAAAAGGGAAUUCUUUCUCACUUGACGGUACCAGAAGAAUAAGCACCGGCUAACUCCGUGCCAGCAGCCGCGGUAAUACGGAGGGUGCAAGCGUUAUCCGGAUUCACUGGGUUUAAAGGGUGCGUAGGUGGGCAGUUAAGUCAGUGGUGAAAUCUCCGGGCUUAACCCGGAAACUGCCAUUGAUACUAUCUGUCUUGAAUACUCUGGAGGUAAGCGGAAUAUGUCAUGUAGCGGUGAAAUGCUUAGAUAUGACAUAGAACACCGAUUGCGAAGGCAGCUUACUACGGAGUCAUUGACACUGAGGCACGAAAGCGUGGGGAUCAAACAGGAUUAGAUACCCUGGUAGUCCACGCCCUAAACGAUGGAUACUCGACAUUUGCGAUACACAGUAAGUGUCUGAGCGAAAGCAUUAAGUAUCCCACCUGGGAA
rnacentral:rRNA from 1 species